GGACACUGCUGGCCAAGGGCCUCCACCUCAGGAGCUGCUGCCUCUCAUCCACUUCCGGGGCGAGGGUAAUGGAAGCUCCCUACCGCCAAGCACCACGACCCUCCCCUGCCUUCUCCAGGCCUAAGGGUCAAGCUGCCAGGCCACCAGGCAGUGCCAGACUAAAUUAGCAAAACAGAAGUCAACUGUCGAUUGCUUCAUUGGAGGAUUAAGUGUGAUAAAUGGGGGGUUUGUUCGCUCUCCGGUCCAGAUGUUGUGUCUAAGUAAGGGUUUUUUCAAAAAAAAGUUUUUUUACAUUCUUGGCCCAGGGCCCAUAUAUAUUUUGGAUACUGCUGGGAGUAUAUAAUAUCAUUGGAAAAUGAUGCGGUCUGCUAACCUUUUAAAUAACAUUUCCUCCCUCCUCUAUUUUCUAAUAGUUUGUUUUUCUUUCCAUGUUUGCCUUUUAUUGGGGGAAAUUUUUUUUGGAAAUUAAUGAGGCUCAAGUUUGGAGACCAAAAUAAAAAAGGGGUGGGGGAGUGUGAGAGGUGGAUGGGGUGUGGAAUGAAGCUGGGUGGAGGGAGGGCUACUCUUUGUGUGUUUUAAAGCGCUCCUGGUUUGAUUUUUUUUUUCUUGUAAUUUUCUCUGCCGAGGCUGCCCGCGGCCCUCCGGCGGGGCUGCGCGGUGGCGCGCGCGGGAAGGGCGCCCGGGACUCUCCGCCGCGCCGGGCACCCGCUCGCCCUGCCCGGGC
rnacentral:lncRNA from 1 species